AAAAAGGAAGAAAAGAACCACACACAAGAGGUGCAGCACUAACACAACCCAUUGAAUGGAUGUACCCACUCAAGGAGAGUGUUAUAGAGAAAGAUGCCAGCCUAAGAAAGAGAACGAGCUGAUACGGUUGAUAAAUGUGUCUCAGUAUUUGCGGUCACGCGCAAAGUUGACUAAAUCGGAGCAGGCGGAGGGAAGGAAGCUGAUGUUUUCAUUUUUAUUUUUAAUAAAAAAAACAUUUUAGUUGAAGCUACGGUCAUGCCACUUCGAAACUGUGAAUGGACAGCUACGUCUAUGGAAAAGCAACUCUCAAUUUCUGACGGGUCUCCCAACCAAACACAAAGGCCUUGAACACCCACACAGGUGUUUUCAGUUAACUGACUGUGUGGGUGACUUCAGACUGACCUCUUCUUGAGUCUCCUCUUAGCUUUAUUGCACCUGUUAGGGCUGGACAAAUGGCAGCUUUAUCAUUGUUAUUGGUAGAAAAGAUUUGUGACCUAAUAAAUUCCCAUCUAAGCUCCAGGCCCAUCUUCAACCUGAACAGAGGCCUCAUCAGAAUAAGUGAAAGCUGUGUGGGUGUUCAGAGGCUUUUUUAAAUGAACCCACCUGGGGGGUUUAAUUAGUGAGGUAUUGUUUGCUAACAGUGUUGCUAACGAUAUCAGCUAACGGUGCUUGUUGCAAGCUAGCAGCGAUGGAUUGAGGACAUGAGGACUUUUGUCAACAAAGUGACCUCCACAGUGGGAAAUUCAUCUUACAGUGGGGAACUUCAUCUCGCGUGAAAGAAAGGAGAGAGGACUUCAAAAAAUAUGAAACUACAGCUCAUGAAGAGAAUAGACACAGACGGUGGAGGUUUUGAAGGUUGCCCUUGAAUGGAAAGUCUUCAUGCUGGCUUUGCUCCCCGUACUAUGGUGCGGCACACAGCUGAGGAGAAAUCUUGUUUGGAAGGAGACGCAGCACAUCUACUAAG